UGCAGAUGGAGGAGACUAACC
rnacentral:misc_RNA from 1 species